AUAAUAGGCCGUUCCAAGAUGCUGUCAAAAUUAAAUCAAUAUGGCUACUGGAAGGCAAACAUUGAAUAUUAUUCUAUCAGGUUCUUAUGGUUUUAGAUCAUUUUAGUUGUUGUACAAAGAUUAAUUUAACAUUUUCUCUGGAAGUAUUAAUUUAGAAAGAUAAUAUGCCUCAUUGGUGUUGUGUUUUGAAGUGUGAAAUGCAAAGUAAUCGUGAUAAAGUUAGCUUUUACCACUUACCAUCAGUGCUACAUUCUAAGCACAAAACUGAACCAAUUUAACUAAAUGAGUUAUAGUUAUCAUCUGAGAGACAACAACAAUGGUAAAAUGCAAUAAAAUAUAAAGAUUUUACUAGCAAAAUGGAAAUUCCCCUGUAAUCAUCUUAUAUCUGGUAAGUUACAACAUUUGAACAUUAACGAUUUUUGAAGAUGUUAACAGUCUAAUCUUGUAGGAAAACCAGCCGACUUAACUGAUAAUAACAAUCCAGAUUGGGUUCCUUCAAUAAAUAUGGGGUAUAUAAACACAAUGAAAUGAGUUCCCCAAAAUCUAAAAUGGGAAUUAAGGUACCAAAGGAGAAUUAAAAGAAAAGGGUACCUACAAGAAAAAAUUGCUUUUUUAUUCCUCUUGAAAUGAUUUAUAAGACACUGGACUGUCUUAUAUUCUACAAAUACUAGAAUCAGCUGAGAGAAGUGGUCUACAAAAACCCAGGAAGGAAACGGAAUAUGUGGCUACGAAAGGCAAAAGAAAGGUUUACAAAGCAAAUGUGACACAUUUUUUUGAAAUAUGUAGGAAUAUCAGUAAAUUGCAUUAAAAAAAUGUAUGAAAAGAUUUUGUUCAAUAAAAAUGUUUAUAUUUA